rnacentral:tRNA from 1 species
GCUUUAAAAGGAUAACAGCUCAUCCAUUGGUCUUAGGAACCAAAAACUCUUGGUGCAAAUCCAAGUUAAAACU